rnacentral:rRNA from 1 species
AUUGAACGCUGGCGGCAUGCCUUACACAUGCAAGUCGAACGGUAACGGGUCCUUCGGGAUGCCGACGAGCGGCGAACGGGUGAGUAAUAUAUCGGAACGUGCCCAGUAGUGGGGGAUAACUGCUCGAAAGAGCAGCUAAUACCGCAUACGACCUGAGGGCGGAAGGGGGGGAGCGCAAGACCUCUCGCUAUUGGAGCGGCCGAUAUCAGAUUAGCUAGGUGGUGGGGUUAAGGCCUACCAAGGCAACGAACUGUAGUUGGUCUUAGAGGACGACCGGCACCACUGCGACUGAGACACAGCCCAGACUCCUACGGGAGGCAGCAGUGUCGAAAUUUGGACAAUAGGCGCAAGACUGAUCCAGCAAUUCGGCGUGCAGGAACAAGGCCUUCGGUUUGUAAACUGCUUUUGUCAGCGAAGAAAUCUUCUGGGCAAAUACCCCGGGAGGAUGACGGUUCCUGAAGAAUAAGGACCGGAUAACUACGUACCAGCCGCCGCGGUAA